GAUGAAGAACGCAGCGAAAUGCGAUAAGUAGUGUGAAUUGCAGAAUUCCGUGAAUCAUCGAAUCUUUGAACGCACAUUGCCCCUUCUGGUAUUCCGGAAGGCAUGCCUGUUCGAGAGUCAUUAACAACCGUUUCGAUCCCUUUCUUUCAGAAAUUACAAAGAGGAAAAGGGUUUGGUUAUGGUGGAGGAGGGAAAGGGAGCGUUUAGCCUGUAAAAAAAGAGGCUGUGUUCCGCCUCCCCCCCAAAAUUGUACAGGCGGUCGUGUGCGCCCACGCAUCGAGGUGUUGUAAAAGCUGCCACGGCACUUUUCACCUGUGCAGUGCGAGAUUGGCCAGCCGGUUUAAAAACCCCUCCAAACAAUCAAAGGUUGACCUCGGAUCAGGUAGGGAUACCCGCUGAACUUAAGCAUAUCAAUAAGCGGAGGA
rnacentral:misc_RNA from 1 species